GUCGGUUAAGGCUGGUUAAACCGUUUGGUUUUCGACCACUAGGACCCGGGUUCGAUUCCCGCAUUGGACA